rnacentral:rRNA from 1 species
CCCUUAGAUGUUCUGGGCCGCACGCGCGCUACACUGACAGGGCCAGCGAGUACAUCACCUUGGCCGAGAGGUCUGGGUAAUCUUGUUAAACCCUGUCGUGCUGGGGAUAGAGCAUUGCAAUUAUUGCUCUUCAACGAGGAAUGCCUAGUAGGCACAAGUCAUCAGCUUGUGCCGAUUACGUCCCUGCCCUUUGUACACACCGCCCGUCGCUACUACCGAUUGGAUGGUUUAGCGAGAACUUUGGACCGGAGCUCGGGUGGUCAGCAAUGGCCGCCCGAGACAUACUGGGAAAUCGCUCCAGCUUGAUCAUCUAGAGGAAGUAAAAGUCGUAACA